CAGUUAUGUGGAAGAAGGUGAUGAGGAAGAUGAGGUCUGUGGGGAGUUUGCAGAGAGAAGUACGAUAGUUUUACUGUGGCAUAGAAAAGGGCUGGUGUUUGUGUCCACCUUUGGUGUCAGUCAUUUGAGCCCCCUGUCAAUUAGGGGAAAGGUAUGAGAGGUUUUAAAAUAAUAAGGGACUGACACUUGUGUCAGUCAUGAGUCCACUGUCCUUUAGAGCCCUGUGUGAGGAGCAAGCACUGACAAUACUGGGGUCUUACUGUAGAGAUUCAUGGAUGGGUCUACUCAUGCAUGACGUAAUUCAAUGAUCAAAAGCAGACUACAUAAAGCAAAAUGUUGGGGUUUUGGAAGGUUUAUGAGGACAGCAGAUUCUUCAUUCAAUGUAUGGCAACGUCAUCGAAGACAGUCUUGCUUUUUUACAUGAUCACAUAACUUGAAACUGCAUCACUCAUGGAUAUAAGCUUCCAUUCUUGCUCUAAAAUAUGGUCCUUCACGAUGACAAGGCAGCAUUUUGGUGGGACAAUAAAAAGGACUUUCACUGAUGUCUAAUUUUUAUCUUCUUUAGGGUAUUGCUCUCCUUUGAUUUUCAUGUUAGAUAUUAUCUAUAUGUCAUCUUUGUUUUUACAGGAAGGAGGAGUUUAAAGUCAAACAGUAUGGCUCAUGACCUUUAAAUGUUUCAGCUAACUGCUGUACAAGUACUAGAGAAUUUUCUUACUAUGAUUUCCCAAGAAAGAUAUUUAAAUACAAUUAGAUGUAACAAGGCAUUUAUUAAUGCAAAAACCAAUGUUCUAAAUCAUGAUGAGCUCUAUCUGCAUAUAUUAGAAAUAUUUUCAUUUAGAACUACAGGUUAAUAAACAGACGAAUAAAAAAAUUUAAUUAUAUGAAUGUCAUUGGAAGCAGUUUUACAUAGUCCUGCAGCAGAUGGAGGAUGAAAUCUACAUGUAGUUGUCAAAAAUAUAUGAUCUUUUUCUACUAUGUAUAAUUGUGUUUAUUUUCAAUUUACAUAAACAGGCUGAAGAUAACUUGAUGGAAUGCUUAGAAUACUACAGUAGUUUAAUCAGCACCAUAUUUAAUAAAUAUAGUUUAGCAAUUUGUAGCAUGUGAAUUUAAAAGGACUUUUGCUCUGUAGAACACAUGGACUUAGCCUUCACAGUCAUUAAUAUAUCUGGAACAUUCAUCUUCUGAAGACAGUCUAUAAAAGAAAAAUGAAAAAUAAUUUUUAAUUUUAGUUCUCUCUGUCAAUCUUCCCCUUUUAAGUUAAUAGCCUUUUUGCCAGCUUUGAAGAUGAAGUGGUUUAUUUCUGAUUUUCUUCUUGAUAUGCUUUUAGUAAAAUUGUAUUAUACUUGUUCUCUUUUCAAAGGUAUCAAGUUUUUUCUAAAAAAGUAGAACUUGGACCUGAGCUUAUUAGUAUUUAUCUGACUUAGUCUCUAACCUUAAACAAAUAAUGUAUGCGGAGAGGCCUCUUUUCUUCUCAGAUGUGUUCUUUUUAUAGCUGCCUGAAGAUCUGUUGCACUGUGUAGUAUUUUGAAGAGUUGCCUGAAUGGAAGGGCCUCCACUGUUUUGGCCCUGCAAGUCUUUUUACCAACUGAUGUGAUUUUCUUGGGAUAUUUUUAAGGACAGUACUGACAUCAAUAUGUGGGACAUCUGCUAUCCAUAUGUUCAUAUAACCACCAGACCUGCAGUAAGGCUCCAAAGAAUGCUGGCAUAGUGGUUAAUUCAUUAAUGAAAUAAGCAUCCCUCACACUGCUCUUUUGUGUCCUUCCAAUGUACAUGCUAAAUGAUUAAACUUUGUGAUCCAUCAAGAUAAAAUAUCCUUGAACAUCUCGCAGAUGUGAGGCUCCAUCUCAGCUGUCUGCACACUUGUAUCUCCUGCAGAUUGUAUUUGAUCACAGAGCUCUUAGGGCAUGCAGAGGAUCUUCCUAUAUGGCUUCUUGCCAGACCCAUCUUGGAUACCAUCAAUUCAGAUUAUUUUCCAGUCAGUAUUCUUGUUUCAAUUUUGCUAUUUUGUCAAAUAACAUUGUUUGUAGUAAUACUACCCACACUAGACAAUGAUUGUUUUCUGUUUUAAAGAUGUUUUAGAUUACAGCAGACUCCUGUAAUGACAUCUGCAUUGUUUGUCCCUUGAUUCUUAAAACAGAGGCUUUCAACUGUGCCAUUGCCAGUUGUAAACCCCAUACAUUUGAACCUUCUAUUACAUUCAAAGGCAACCCCCAGCCUCUUCUGCCCUGCCUGUCUCUCCUGAAGAGCCUGUAACCAUCCAGCAGGGCACUCCAGGAUUCAUCCUGCCAGUUUUCACUUUUGUCAAUGACCUCGAAUCUCUGGGGCUUGGCCGAAGCUUUGGGCUGUCUUUGUUCCUCCUUAGUAGAGAAAGAUUUUGGGGGGGUACAUUGUAGCCAACACCUCCUGAAGCAUGUUGAGGGACCCUAUUAGUGUGUGUGUUUAUAAAAAACUUUUUCAAUUAUUGAGGAAAAUACAAAAAGAGGGACUUUUAUGAUACAGGUAGAUGUAAACAAAUUAUGUGCCUUUAAGUCUACCAGUUGCUCAAAUGAAGGAAAACUGCUGAAAUAUCUUCAUGCUUCAGAAGAAAUUUAAUGGACAUAUAAAAAUCCUUCUAAAUUUUCAGUACAGAAGUUACAGCUGUCUUGGGCCACUAGUAAGUUUUGUAACUUCCUUUCACAAUCUGCAUAAACCUUUUGUAAUAAAUACAUACAUGUGUCCUGUAAUUCCAUGGCUUGUAUCAUGAUUGGUUUAU